AUGAGCGUCGACAGAGGAUUAAACAUGCUGCACAAGCAUGGAAGCAUGCCGCAUGGCGCCGCGUAUAGAGGCAGAGGCGCUUUUCUGAAAUCCAUGUCGGAGUUCCCGGUGGAGGGAGGCGAGAACGGGGACAUGCAUACCGUCAUGGAGAACUUCCAGAAGAAGAACAAUCUGGUGACCGGUAGGACGCACCACGUCACUCAUCAUCCGCAGGUCACCACCACGUCGUCGCAGAUGCUGACGACAAAUCAGAGCCAACACCAGAGUAGUAGCAGUACUAGUACCAGUACUAGCAGCAGUAGUAGCAGCAGCAGGGUGGCCAAGUCCUCGCAGAGGAUUCUCACCUCGUCCUCAUCGAGUGAGAUGAAGGCGAGCUCUAUGAAGAGCGAUCUGACGGAACUUAAACGCGGCAUCUCGGAAAUGAAGAAUAUCUCGACCAAUUUUUCACAACGACUGCGCAGCAGCAUGGAGAAUCUCGUGGACAGCGGACCGGAAGAGGCCGAUCUCACAGAGCCGCUGGUAACUUUUCCGGAUCCGGACACGCCGCCGCCCAACGACGCUGUAACGUUGGCAGGCGGUUCUCCGUCCCAGUUGAGUUCUCUGAACUCGCUGAAUAAUCUUCAUCACAGCAUGAGCCCGCCGAUAAAUAUAUCAAACAUAGCAAACUUACCUGCCGGUCAGGAAACUAUGAAGUUUGAACAGAAGAAAAUGACCAGCGCAUCGAAAACAAAGGUCGUCACGGAUGGAUUUAGCGCCGAGAAGGCGACGGCAAACAGCGCCGAGAUGAAGGCCCUGCAGGCCGGCGACGUCUCAUACAAGGAGCAGAGCGCCGCGACGGCGGCGAGGGCGCGCGUCGAACUUGACGGCGUGUCGGCGGAGAAGAGCGUCGCUGCUGCGCGGGAACAAAGGAGUUUGAAGGCUGGCGAUCUUUCGCAUCAGGAGAGCAACAACAUGGCAGCAUCCACUAUGAAACUUCAAAGCGACUCUUUUACCUCUGAAAAAAAAGCGAUGGCGGCGCAACAGCAACGGCAGACAGUCACCUCGACCGGCAUCUUUAAUCACGAGAAGCACAUGGCGUCGAGCUCGCAAUCGAGCAUCACUAUCGCGUCCAAGUCGGGCGUGAGCUCGUCCAAGUCGAUGAUCACCGCGGCGAGCGCGGUUAAUCAGCUGAUGAACGGUAUGCGGCCGCCUACAGCCGAGGACGAGCUGCUGUCCCUACCGUUGGACGACUUGGACCUGCUAUGCUCCAAGUCGAAUCCGCAGGACGUGGACUGCGCGAUCGCCAAGUACUGCAGUCUGCUCGACAGCUUCGUCGAGCGGCUGAAGACAGGCGCCGACAAGAGCAGCAGCAAAGCGCCGCAGCUACUGAACAGGGUGAACGAGAUAAUCCGAAAGGCUUGGGCGGUGCCCACGCACGGUCACGAGUUGGGUUACACUCUGUGCAACACCCUGAGAACGCGCGGCGGUCUGGACCUCCUCAUGUCGAAUUGCGUGGCGAACGAUCAAGAACUGCAGUUCUCGUCGGCCCGAUUGCUGGAGCAAUGCCUGACCACGGAGAAUCGCGCCCACGUGGUCGAGAAUGGCCUGGAGAAGGUGGUGAACGUAGCGUGCGUGUGCACGAAGAACGCCAACUCGGUGGAUCACGCGCGCAUCGGCACCGGGAUACUCGAACAUCUGUUCAAGCACAGCGAGGGCACCUGCAGCGACGUGAUCAGGCUAGGCGGUUUGGACGCGGUGCUGUUCGAAUGCCGGAAAAACGACGUGGAGACUCUGCGCCAUUGCGCGGGCGCGCUCGCGAAUCUGUCGUUGUACGGCGGUGCCGAGAAUCAAGAGGCGAUGAUCAAGCGUAAGGUGCCGAUGUGGCUGUUCCCGCUUGCCUUCCACACCGAUGACAACAUUAAAUAUUACGCGUGCCUGGCGAUCGCCGUGCUGGUCGCCAAUAAGGAAAUCGAGGCGGCCGUCCUAAAGUCCGGCACCCUCGACCUCGUCGAGCCUUUCGUUACGUCGCACAACCCCUACGAAUUCGCCAAAUCGAACCUGGCUCACGCACACGGUCAGAGUAAGAACUGGCUGGAGAGGCUCGUGCCGGUCUUGAGCUCGAAGCGGGAGGAGGCUCGCAAUCUGGCGGCCUUCCACUUCUGCAUGGAGGCGGGCAUCAAGAAGCAGCAGGGCAACACCGAUAUUUUCCGGACAAUCGGCGCGAUCGAGCCGUUGAAGAAGGUAGCCAGCUGUCCGAACGCGAUCGCGUCCAAGUACGCGGCACAAGCUUUGCGAUUGAUCGGCGAGGAAAUUCCGCAUAAACUAAGCCAACAAGUGCCUCUGUGGUCCACCGAGGACGUCCGAGAGUGGGUGAAGCAGAUCGGCUUCGCCGACGUGGCCUUGAAUUUCGUGGAGAGCCGAGUAGACGGCGAUCUACUGCUGCAGCUGACGGAGGAAAAUCUGCGCGAGGAUAUCGGCCUGACCAACGGUAUCAUGCGCCGCAGAUUCGCCCGCGAGCUGCAGAACCUGAAGAAGAUGGCCGACUACAGCAGCCGCGACACCGGUAACUUGAACAGCUUCCUGCAGUCGAUCGGCCAGGAGUUUUCCAUUUACACGUACAGUAUGCUGAAUGCCGGCGUGGACAAGGACUCGAUACGCAAUCUCUCGGAGGAUCAGUUGCUGACCGAGUGCGGCAUCGCCAAUAGCAUCCAUCGGCUAAGGAUACUCGACGCCAUCAAGAAUAUGCAGCACAAUCAGUUCAGCUCGUGCGAGUACGAGUCGCCCGACAAGUCCCUCGACGUCUUCGUUAGUUACCGUAGAUCGAACGGCUCGCAGCUGGCGAGUCUGUUGAAGGUUCACCUGCAGCUGCGCGGCUUCUCGGUAUUCAUCGACGUCGAGAGGCUCGAGGCCGGCAAGUUUGACAACAACCUGUUGCAGAGCAUCAGGCAAGCCAAACACUUCCUUCUUGUGCUCACGCCACAGGCUUUAGAGAGGUGUGUACAGGAUAGUGAGUGCAAGGACUGGGUACACAGGGAGAUUGUUGCCGCUUUACAAUCGCAAUGCAACAUAAUUCCAAUUAUCGACAAUUUUGAAUGGCCGGAACCCGAGAGACUUCCUGAAGACAUGCGAGCGGUGUGCCAUUUCAACGGUGUCCGCUGGAUUCACGACUACCAAGACGCUUGCGUAGACAAAUUAGAAAGGUUUAUGCGAGGUGAGAUACCUGUGAGAUCUGAUAUGUUGUCCAGCGGAAUUCCGCGCAGCAUGGCUACCAAGGACGUGACCCAACCGAGCACACCGUGCAACACGAAUAUACGACAGCCGCCAAACUAUCAGCGGAUGCACAGCAAUGAAAGCAGGGGCAGCGACAAGGAUUCCACAGGCGGGCGAGACUGACUAGAUGGCCCGCCCACAGCUAUAUCGAACAGCCAAGAUUGCGAAUCGCUCUAUGACAAUCACGACUAGAAAGUCGUCCAGUCCAUCUCGUUGGUUGAUGGGCCUGCCACCCACGUCGCCGCGCUUUAAGUUCAUGUACACACAUCCGGUGGCCAGCAGUAACCUGGUG
rnacentral:misc_RNA from 1 species